UAAGACUGUUAGGUACGUACCAUGCAGUCGAGCGGUAACAGGGGGAGCUUGCUCCCCGCUGACGAGCGGCGGACGGGUGAGUAAUGCUUAGGAAUCUGCCCAGUAGCGGGGGAUAGCCCGGGAAACCGCGGAUUAAUGCCUAUUACGCCCACGGGGGAAAAGGGGGUGCCCUUCGGCCCCUCGCCUGAACAAGUGGGAUAUUCCCGGAUGGGAUUGGGGGGGUAAAGACUCAACGGCCACCCAACCGACGCUGCCAAAUAGGUCAGAUAAACACAUCAGCACUGGAACAACUGCCCAUAUCCCCCCCUCGUACUGGAGGGGCUGAUGGAAAUAGGGCACCACCCUAAACGCCCCAUGCCCCGUGGCGCGUGCGGAAUUGGCCUUCGGCUUUUAUUGUUUUUAAGGCAUGCGGAUAGUUAAACGUUGAAGAUAUGACAUUUGAAGAUAAGACCACCAAUUUCUCCUUGCCCCCUGCCACCGUAUCCGGAGGGUGCACGUUAUUAUCGUAACUUUUGGCCGUUUAGCGCACAUAGGGGCGUGCUUUCCUUUUGUCAAAAACCAAGUGCGAACCUGAACUUUCAUUCAAUUGAAGUUUCAACGUGAUACGAGGCUGGAUUCCCCU
rnacentral:rRNA from 1 species